GGCCUUAUAGUGUAGCAGUAACACAUCCUCUAUUAAUUAUUCACAAUUGGUUUAUAUUUGAGGAAGUCCCUUGUUCGAAUCAGGGUGAGGCCA